UGAAAAUUCGAAGGCAACGCGAAGAACCUUACCAGGUCUUGACAUCCUCUGACAACCCUAGAGAUAGGGCUUCCCCUUCGGGGGCAGAGUGACAGGUGGUGCAUGGUUGUCGUCAGCUCGUGUCGUGAGAUGUUGGGUUAAGUCCCGCAACGAGCGCAACCCUUGAUCUUAGUUGCCAUCAUUAAGUUGGGCACUCUAAGGUGACUGCCGGUGACAAACCGGAGGAAGGUGGGGAUGACGUCAAAUCAUCAUGCCCCUUAUGACCUGGGCUACACACGUGCUACAAUGGACGGUACAAAGAGCUGCAAGACCGCGAGGUGGAGCUAAUCUCAUAAAACCGUUCUCAGUUCGGAUUGUAGGCUGCAACUCGCCUACAUGAAGCUGGAAUCGCUAGUAAUCGCGGAUCAGCAUGCCGCGGUGAAUACGUUCCCGGGCCUUGUACACCCCGCCCGGUCAA
rnacentral:rRNA from 1 species